rnacentral:rRNA from 1 species
CCUACGGGCGGCAGCAGUGGGGAAUAUUGGACAAUGGGCGAAAGCCUGAUCCAGCCAUGCCGCGUGUGUGAAGAAGGCCUUCGGGUUGUAAAGCACUUUCAGUGGGGAAGAAAGCCUUGGGGCUAAUACCCUCGAGGAAGGACAUCACCCACAGAAGAAGCACCGGCUAACUCCGUGCCAGCAGCCGCGGUAAUACGGAGGGUGCGAGCGUUAAUCGGAAUUACUGGGCGUAAAGCGCGCGUAGGCGGUCUGAUAAGCCGGUUGUGAAAGCCCCGGGCUCAACCUGGGAACGGCAUCCGGAACUGUCAGGUUAGAGUGCAGGAGAGGAAGGUAGAAUUCCCGGUGUAGCGGUGAAAUGCGUAGAGAUCGGGAGGAAUACCAGUGGCGAAGGCGGCCUUCUGGACUGACACUGACGCUGAGGUGCGAAAGCGUGGGUAGCAAACAGGAUUAGAUACCCUAGUAGUC